UGGAUAGCUCAGGUGGUUAGAGCAUGGUGCCGCUAACACCAAGGCUGCAGGUUUGAUUCUCUUAUGGGACAG